AAGAGAUGAAACAACAAAGUUUCAAACAGAAAUUACAGGGAAAACAAAAGCAAAACGAGUCGAAAAGCAGUAAUUUCUCCAAGCCAAUGUCGGGUGCAACUGCAACCAAUUUGCAAAAGAAGCAGCCACAAAUGAACCAACCAGCUAUUAGUGGGAAAGGCCCCACAGAACAUAUUGAUAUCAACACAUGAUGGUAAGCACCAC